CAAAAUCCUACUCUCUCUUUUUUAUGGUAAAUAAUCUCAACAGUUCAUUCUCAUUUAAUCUCAAUCGUUCCUUUUCCACUGUAUAUUCAUUCUUUUCUUUCAUCAUAAUCUCAACCGUUCAUUUUCCACUGUUCAUCAUUUUCUUUCAUCAAAACCCUACUAUCCCUUUUUUUUUUUUCCUAAGAUGCUGCCGCCCUUCUCUUUUUCUUCUCCAUGGCCGUUGUCUCAACAUCUUCUCCUUUUCUUUCUUUUCGACACCCUCGCUCUCCUCUCUUCCUUGCACAUUAACACAUUUUCAAACAAGCCACGAUAUGAUUUAUUCGUCCACUGACGAAGAUGAAAGUCCCCACAUCAAUGCCGAUUGUAUGAUGAAGCCAUGACCGAUUCCUUCAUAGACGAAGCCGUGGACAUUAUGAUGGAUGCGAAGUUGAUGGUCGAUUCCAUUCCACUUGCUCUAAUUUUUCUUGCACCGUUGAAGUUUUUUCUUCUCCUAUCUUCACUCUAGAAAGCAAGCUCAUGAAUAAGGCUCUUGUUUGUUUUUUUUUUUUUUUUGUCUUGAAUAUGAUUUUUGUGUAACUUUAAUUGAUACCUACAAAUGUAGGUGAUUAUUUGAUGCUUGAAUCAUGUUUGAUGAAAUUUCUCAAAGGAAACUAACAUAGUUGAAUUUUAAUUUAAUUUUAAAUUUUGAUUUGUAUUCAGUUUUGAGUGAUAUGUAUAAAUAUGGACCAUUAGUUGAUACUUGAUAACUGUUCGAUAAAAUUACUCAAAGAACCACGAUUAUCCUUGUUUUUUUAUUUGAAUAUAAAUUUUUAGUUGAUUUAAUAUCAAAUUGAUUUUCGAACCAAAUCGAAUAGAAAUUAUAGGAUUUGAUUUAGUUCAUCUCCCUUACUAGUCCGAUUCAGUUGCAUUUUUAUAAUUAAUAAAUUCGAUUAUUUCGGUUUUGGAUGGUUGAAUUCAGUAGUAAACCAAACUGAUCGAUGCUCAGGCCUACUCUUAUCCUUCUUUUCUCCUGCCUUCUCUUAGUUCUUGUCUCUAUCUGUAUGGAGAAUGGUAUAUCACAUUUAAUUUCCUUUACUAACUCAACUACAAUGAUAAAAUUUUGGAGUUGGGGGCAGAGCAUUAAAUUACAACAUCACACUUUGGUGGGAAAAUUAAUAUUUGUAAAGUCUUUUAGUGCUAUGGUGCUUAAAGUGAUUCUAAGUCUUUUAGUGCUAUGGUGCUUAAAGUGAUUCUGGAAAAAGCAUAGAAUUUGAGAGAAGGGUUUAAGAUCUCUUCUAAAUGGAGCAAUAUAUUUCUCUUCUCCUUUUCCAAAUAGGAAGAUGCUUCCUUUAUGUUGCAAAAUAGGUCUUGGUCAAUUAAUAAUAACCUCUUGGUUAUUAGAAACUGGUCGGAGGAUCAAGCUUUUGAAGACCUUCAAUUUAAAUCAUCUCCCUUUUGGGUUCAGGUUUUCGACUUGUCUCUAAAUCAAAUGUUUGUGUAAAAUCCAAAAACUAUUAGAGAUCUCUUAGGUAGUUUUAUAGAGCUAGAUUCCUCUGAUUUGAACAUUUCUGGAGCUAUGCAUUUGUUGCGGUUAAAAGCUCAGAUCAAUAUAGGAAAACCUUUCAUAACUAGUUUUCAUAGGAAGGGAAGUGAUGGUUUAAUUGGCUAGGUUAGCUUCAAGUAUGAACGCCUUUCGGAUAUUUGUUUUAAUUGCGGAUCUUUAGGACAUUUUUGUAGUACUUGUCCUCAUCUUAGAAUAAGAACAGAUUGGAAAACUAGGAGAAGGCAAGCUUAUGGACCAUGGUUGAGAAUCUCUUCCCCUCGCAGGAAUGUAGCUUACUCGACAUCCUCUUCUACACCUGAUUCCAACCCCUCUCACCACCAUCAUCCUCUCUAUCAUUGUCUUGGUCUCUUUUCAUCUUUCAUCAACCCUCCUUCUAUAUGCAGUACUGUAUUACCUUUUACCCACACAGAAAUCAAAUCUGAAACCCCCUUUUCAUUCGUUCCAAACCAGUUUCGACCUCCCCAAAACCACUCUGCAGAGUCUCUAGUAGUUUUCACCAAAAAUGGAAAAAAGGUUUUUGUAGAAGAAAAAGAGCAAUCAGGGCUGUUACUUGACUGUUCCUCGAGCCUCAAGCCUUCAUUAAUUUCUCUCACCAUAGACGCAGUCGUUGUGCCACCCAAGGAGGACAUUCCUUCCAUAUUUAACAGUUACCUCCGCUCAAUGGGUAAAGUAGAGGUGGAUGCUGAAUGGAUUUUUCGACAAUUUUCAUUUUUGGUGGAUUAUGUACAAUAGGCCACUUUUAAUGCUUGGUGAGAAUUCCAGACAGUGUCAAAUGCAAUGGAGAAAGAAGACAACUUAAAAAAGUCUAUCCCUUUGCAAAUUGAUGGACAGGAUUCUGGUCGGCCUCAACCCGUCAUACUUUUAGGCCUAAGGGCUGUUUUAGUUGCCGAAAGCUUGAUUUUGGAAAAAAGGAAUAUAGAGAACUUAGGCUCACAAAAAGAGUUUUGGGUUGGAUCAUCUUCUUUUAAGGAGGGUAUGGAGUCAAAUCCUUUUGGCUAUCAAGAAAGAAUCCAAUUUAUUACUAGGCUGGCUACCCAUCGUUUGAAGGAUAGUUUAAAAAUCCAAGAAGCAGAAGAAAUGGAAUGAAAGGAAGCUGGGUUUUCUUUCAAAAUGUCCCAAACUAUCCAUUCAAUGCCAUUUCAUAGGACCACAAGACUUUUUACCUCUUGAUCAAUUGAUUUAGCUUGCAGCUAUUUUAACAAACAAAAAAGACUUUAACUCCAAGAGUCUUGGGGGAGAAAUCCUAUUUGGACAUUUCCUUCAAGAAUCCAAAUGCAAAGAAAGGAAAGAGUUGGAAGAGACAAGCACGUAUGAGCCAUGGAGUUGUGAUUAGAGAGCUACCAUCUCCAAAUGGGGAAGGUGAAUUUGUCUCUCAAAAUGGGAAGAAACGAAAGGAAGAAUUACCGAAUAAAAGCAGUAAGAAGCUCAAAAAUAAUUUUUCGUAUUAUCUGGAAAUGGUGGAGGAGCGCAGCAAAAAAUAGUCCCACACGCAGCCAUGAUUCUUCUGAGUUGAAAUUGUCAAGACAGAAUAAAGUUGAGGUGGUCAGGAAGAAGAUGCAGAAAUGCGGCUAUUUUGAUCUUUGUAUAGUUGAGCUAAUCGGGCUUGCUGGAGGCCUUUGCUUAGCUUAGAAGAUUGGUAUGGAUGUUUAUGCGGUCAACUCUUGCUCUUUUCUUUUUCAUAAGAAUGUUUAUGAUCAAUCUAUUAGAAAAUCUUGGGAUGCUUUGCUAGUAUAUGUUAGUAGUGAAGACCCAGUUAAAAUUGCCCAGUUUGAUUUCAUUUUGAAUUACAAAGCUUUUUUGUC